rnacentral:misc_RNA from 1 species
AAGAGUUAGGGUCUUCUAGGCCCGAUCUCCCAACCCUUUGUUUAUUGAACCUCUGUUGCUUCGGCGGACCCGUCUCACGGCCGCCGGAGGACCGCUGAAAGGCGUCCUCUGGCCAGCGUCCGCCGAUAGCCAACCACUUAAACUCUGAAUAAAUCGUGUCAUAUGUCUAAGUCUAUGAUUAAAUUAAAGCAAAACUUUCAACAACGGAUCUCUUGGUUCUGGCAUCGAUGAAGAACGCAGCGAAAUGCGAUAAGUAAUGCGAAUUGCAGAAUUCCAGUGAGUCAUCGAAUCUUUGAACGCACAUUGCGCCCUUUGGUAUUCCGAAGGGCAUGCCUGUUCGAGCGUCAUUAUCACCCCUCAAGCCCCGUGCUUGGUGUUGGACGGCUUGGUCGCGUCACCGCGACUCCUCCUAAAGACAAUGACGGCGGCCUGUGGUUCCCCCGGUACACUGAGCUUUUAAUUGAGCACGUAUUGGAUAAGGGCACCCGGGACCCGGUCUUCUCCCUUUACCGGGAAAUUUUUCAAUG